rnacentral:rRNA from 1 species
CUACGGGUCGCAGCAGUCGAGAAUCUUCCGCAAUGCGCGAAAGCGUGACGGAGCAAUGCCGCGUGGUGGAUGAAGGCCUUCGGGUUGUAAACACCUGUCACAUGGGACGAACUUUGACGGUACCAUGAGAGGAAGCCACGGCUAACUACGUGCCAGCAGCCGCGGUAAUACGUAGGUGGCGAGCGUUGUUCGGAUUUAUUGGGCGUAAAGGGUCCGCAGGGGGUUUGUUAAGUCUGAUGUGAAAUCCCGGGGCUCAACCCCGGAACUGCAUUGGAGACUGAUGAACUAGAGUAUCGGAGAGGUAAAUGGAAUUCCUGGUGUAGCGGUGGAAUGCGUAGAUAUCAGGAAGAACACCGAGAGCGAAGGCAAUUUACUGGACGAUUACUGACCCUCAGGGACGAAAGCGUGGGUAGCGAACAGGAUAGAUACCCCCGUAGUC